rnacentral:SRP_RNA from 1 species
GCCGGGCAUGGUGGCGCGUGCCUGUAAUCCCAGCUACUUGGGAGGCUGAGGCAGGAGAAUUGCUUGAACCCAGGAGGCGGAGGUUGCAGUGGGCCAAGAUUGCACCAUUGCACUCCAGCCUGGAUGACAGAGCUAGACUCCGUCUCAA